CUCUUCGGGGAUGAUUAAACCGGCGCACGGGUGAGUAACACGUGAGUGACCUGCCUUUUAGACUGGAACAACUUACCGAAAGGUGAGCUAAUGCCGGAUGAGUUAUAUAAGUGCAUGUUUAUAUAGGAAAAGUUGGGGAGACCUGACGCUGAAAGAUGGACUCGCGUCCCAUUAGCUAGUUGGUAGGGUAAUGGCCUACCAAGGCGACGAUGGGUAGCCGGCCUGAGAGGGUGGCCGGCCACACUGGGACUGAGACACGGCCCAGACUCCUACGGGAGGCAGCAGUGGGGAAUUUUGCGCAAUGCUCGUAAGAGUGACGCAGCGACGCCGCGUGAAUGACGAAGGCCUUCGGGUCGUAAAGUUCUUUCGACAGGGAAGAAAAUGCCUAUAAGUAACUGUGUAUGUAUUGACGGUACCUGUAUAAGCAGCCCCGGCUAACUCCGUGCCAGCAGCCGCGGUAAUACGGAGGGGGCGAGCGUUGUUCGGAGUGACUGGGCGUAAAGAGCACGUAGGCGGUGUUGUAAGUCAUUAGUCAAAGACUAGAGCUCAACUUUAGUAAGGCUAGUGAUACUAUAAUACUAGAGUAUCAGAGAGGAUUGCAGAAUUCCUGGUGUAGCGGUGAAAUGCGUAGAUAUCAGGAGGAAUACCGUUAGCGAAGGCGGCAAUCUGGCUGGAAACUGACGCUGAGGUGCGAAAGCGUGGGUAGCAAACAGGAUUAGAUACCCUGGUAGUCCACGCUGNUAACGAUGGAUGCUAGGUGUUGGGCUUUUAAGUUNAGUGCCG
rnacentral:rRNA from 1 species